ensembl:lncRNA
CACGUUCACAGACUGGGCUGCUCCGGUAUAUAAUGGUAAACGUGCUCACAGGAACAGAUUUAUGAAAUAAGUAAUAGAAAUUUUGGAGCAUUUGAAAUUUAACUUGUAUUAUUAAUACAUUUUAAAAGAAACAGGAUUGUUCUUAAGUUUAGACCAUCUCUGUGCUACCCCUUUGCAUGUGUCUCACUGUACACGAUUAAUUUUUUCUGUUUUUCUUUUUCUCUCAGGUUGCUGGUUGUGGAAUUUGGAGCUGCGGAGAUUUGAGCUGUGCUCCAAAAGUGCAUGUUGAAGGUACCUAAUGCUUUCAUAUUAUUUACUUUUUCCUUAAUACGCAAUUUUACAUUUUGAAUUCUCUUAUUUGGUCUUUUAGGUUAUCACCACAGUUCCACUGCUGUCCACAUUCAUGAGCAGUCUUGACCAGUACUCUGACCAGUUGAUGAAGAUUCUACGAAAAAAAGGAGGGGAAACAGCGCGGCGGAUGACAGCAGCGUUGUCUGCAAUUUCACAGAGUUCCCGAAUCGAAGUGAAGCGUGAAUGCAUCCUUAAAGCUGUGAUUAUAUACCUGAAUGAGAACCCUGAAAAUCUCAUCAAAGAGUACAUGGAUUUCAACGUGAUGGAAGCUGAAGAGCUUGAGAGGAUGGAUUUGGCGUGUUUAUAAAAUAAUCCAUGAAGGAGCACAGCCUGAUUACUCCCUUGAAGAUGUUGGCAUCAUUAUCGAGAGAUGCACAGUCUUGCAGGAUCUUCACGAUGUGACGAGCGGGUGUGCACUUUUGUUUGGGCUAAUUUACUGCCUCAAUCUGAGUUACCCAAAGCCACUUCGCUACACAUUUGAGUUCUUCCAGAAGGUGCUCAUGGGACUGGAAGACAAAAAACUGUCUAACAAAAUACAAGUGCUGAAGAACAAACUCUGCCAAAAGGAGACGCAAUGACUCUUCUAGAUUGAAAUGUCUCCCAAAAUAAGUGCUCUGUUUUACUAUUUAAAAGUUUAUAAAUAUAUAUAUGUUGAUCCUUGUUUGUAAAUAUUUUGUCAUAGUUUUUAAUAUUUAGGAGAUUUACUCUUUUGAUUGUGGAAAAGAAAACAUAAUUCAGAAACUGAGUUUUUGGAACUGAGGACAAAAUUACGCAGAUGGAUAUAUUUUCUUGUUUCACAACAUUUUCUUCAGUUUGAGUAGCUGUGGUAAUUCUGCAGACUGUAGCCAUUGCAGACCUACAACUGUAGAUCCUGAAAUCAUCCUACUCCUCACUACACUGUCACUUAGUUGAAACUGGAAAGUUGUUUCAGAUGUUUACAUUUUAUUUUACACACUUCAUUUAAUGUUGCAUUAUGCAGUGUUGUUUCCCUGUUUAAGCUUUGCCUCAUUGAAGGCUUUUGUUCAAGUUGUUAAAGCAACACAAUUUUUUUUUUUUUUUUUUUUUUUUGUAUUUACACUUCAUAUUAGUUCUCGUGUACCAGGUUUCCAUUGUAGGUCAAGGAUCUUGAGUGUUAUAAAUGUUAAAGUGUAUGUGCAAACAAAUGUGAAAAGGUUCUAAGGUUUUCACCUGUACUCAAGUUAAGUACUGGAUUUUUGGUCUUAGCAUUUAAUUAAGAAUAUUUUGAGAUUUGCUAUAUGCAUUUUUUUAUUGUAAAAUUUAUUAUAUAAUAGAAAACUUAUAAUUCUGAAUCCGAUUUUUGGAACUGGGGACUAAAUCGUUUUUACCUUUUUGUGUCACUUAACUAUUUUCUGUACUGUAAUUGCAUUAUACAGUGAUUUUUAAGUUGCUGUGGUAAAUCUGCAGAUCUGACUAUAAUCACAGUUGUAUUGAAUUUGACAUCUUACGGCACACUACAAUGUCACUUUGUUGAAACUCGGAAAGUUGUUUCCAAUGUUUAAAUUUUGGUCAUGCACUUUAAGCAUUUAAUAUUGCCUUAUGCAGUGUUGUUCCCUGUAGAAACUUUGCCUUGUCAAGGCUCACCGUAAA